GUUCGCGCUGGCUUCUGCUCGUGUUUGACGCGGGUGUCGGAUCCUGGCGCUCCAAUAAGCACGGAACGUCGGGUGGUUUCCACUUCCAUCCGACAGCUUCCAGUGGAGCCAGUAUUUAGACAAAACCUGUCCAGGUUUGGCUGUCGCGUUCUUGGACACCCAGCCUUCAGCACAUCCAGGGGCCUUCUUAAUCUUUCAUUUCUUAAUCUUAAUAUUUCUUAAUCUUAAAUAUUUAUUCAUAGAAUCAUAGAAUCAAAGGAUGGUUGGGCGGAAGGGCGCUUAAAGACAGCCAGCCCCAACCCCCACUGUGGGCUGCUUGCCCCUGCCGGGUCAGCCUGCCUAGCGCCCCAUCUUCUGCUCAUCCUGAAACUUUAAAUGGCUUUUGACUAUUCAAGUAGUUUAUUUGGAAACAGAAGUAGAUUUUUGCUGUGUUUUUUUGUUCUCUUAGUGAAGGAUCUUAGAUACAGAACAAAGUGAGCCAGGACAGAACGUUCCUAGCGGCUCACGCUGUGCUGUUAGCACUCUCCAUUUAUAGCACGUGAGUGACGCAAUCUGAAUUUGCCCUUGAACUGGAAUCAUUGUGAAGCAUUGCACAUUACAAGUUGCAAUACUUGAAAACAUUCAGUCGUGCUGCUCGUGGCUCAGCUGUGCAGCACUAGGCACACAAGUGGAAAUAAUGCCCUGGGUGAUCAUGGCACCCUGCGGUCCCACAGCAAGGAGUGAGGAGCUGGCAGGCUGCUGCCAGGCCUUCUAGCUGACACACCUCUUGCUCCUGGCAGAGCAUAGGAGCCCUGAUGGGCGGAGGAGCUGGCACCACUCACUGCUGGCUGUGUGCCCUCCACAGCUGUGAGGAGCAGGGUUUCCCCUUUCUUGUGAACCUACAAGCUCCAGCCCAAAAGGGGGGGAAAGAUCGUGACUUGGGAUCACUUUUUAGAAUUAUCAAGCACAGCUCUUAACUGAGCACAGCACUUAUUCCUCUCUUGUUCUUUUCUACUGUUACCUUGGAUACCACCUCCUACUGAAUGUUAAGGAUCAGCAGGAAUAUAGAACAUGAACAGUGUUAUUGCUGGAAAGUCAUUUGCAGACUCGUAAAGAAGCACCACUUCAGCACUCCUCCAAAGCUUUACAACUAUUUACUUAUUCCAGUUUGGAUUGCUUUUCCUGUUUGCUAUUGACAUCUGGGAUUUAAGGCUCAGCACAGAAUUGUCCUUUGCUCUGCCCUGGCUCACCAGAUGUCUGGCUUUCUGCAUGUGGUGUGCAAUCCCAGGUCCUACCAAUAGAUGACUAAACAAAAUGAAAUCAGGGUGUUGCUUUGAGAGACUGGCAGCUUUUCUGUGCCUGAUCUAAAACUGGAGUAGCUAUUCAAUAAAGAAGGAAUGCUAGUGCCCAUGACUCCCAGAGUCUGUGCUGUUGAUCUGAAAUGGCUCAUGUGUUGAACUUCAGAGAUGGGCUCUAGUGGUCGCUUGUAAAACAGAGCAGUGAAGUGAGGUAGUCUGUGGCAAGCAUCCUUAUGGACUUUAGAGCAUUCUGAUAGUAUAUGUCCAUAGGUGAGCCUGCCAUCAGGAUUGGUAGGAACAGUUUCUUGCUAGCCCAUACUUCACUUUUUGUAAAUCCCAAGAUAAAGACUUAACUAGCACUUGCAUGGAAUAAGAGUGUGCUUUUUGACAGUAGUUACUAUUUGCCCUCACUAUUCAUGUUUUUAAGUAGACCUGUGCAGAUACCAGUAUGUUACCAGUCAUUAUUGUGCCUAAUAGUAAAUUUUAUUUCCUACUGAUACUGUUUCAUCUUUGCUUAGUUGUUGUUAAUACAAACAAAGCCUGGUGUUAUGGGAAGGCUACCGCUUCAUCUUAAGAGCAAAUAGGAAGAAAGGAUAUAACAGGCAUGGAGCAUUAUAAAUCCAUGCCUCUCCUGUGAGACAAAACCUGAGACAGUAUUAAAGUUAGAAUAUGUCCUUAAUAAAUAAAUAAAUACACAAUUUAAAAAAAUUACUGAAUUCAAAUGCAAAAUUAGGUCUUAUAUCAUAUCAACAGAUUUAAUUAAUUUCCGCUCCCAUCUGCUUACAGAAUUUGAUCUAAAGCACUUCUAUGAGCCCUCAUGUCGACCCAUCAUAGAUGAGACUAUGGGUCUACAGGAAGAUGGAACGCUUUUGUGCACUGGAUGAAAGCUUCAGCACUGUGUAAUCUUUGUUAAUUAGAAAGUGUUUCUGUGUGAUCUUUGCCAACUGUGCCAUUAACAUUCUGUAUGAGCCCAUUGAUGUAACUUGGAAUCUGGGGUGCAGAGUUGUUGCUGUGAUUCUGCCUUUGUAGACUGUGUGCUGUUAAUAUCUUCUGCUAUUUGUGAUUGUCUUAAAACUCAGAUCAAUUUAGUGUGUUAUCUAGAUGCUAAUCCCUGGAGACAGUGUGGUAGGGAUAAGAAGCUGGAUGAAUAAAGGGGAACAGUGCUGAGAAAAACCAGAACUGAGUCUGCCACUGAGAUACAGGUAAUUUAUGGAGGACUGCUCUUCUUUUUGUUGAAGAUGUGUGUUUUGCCAGUUCAGUUGCAAUUAUGAACUCUUUUUCUAAGUUAUCAGAGGUAUGCUGUAUAACUUAGAUCUCCUUCAGUGAGACAGUUCAGAACGAUGGCUGAGUCCUUGUUAUAUUUCUUAGUCAUGGUUUUAUGUCUGUUUCUUGUCUGUAAAGUGGGGGCUGAUGGGAGCAGCCAUAAAUUUGAUCUUGUCUUAAUGGGAAAAAUACAGAAAAAGUCUGAAAAAAACACUGUCAGAAGAUGUCUGGUAACAGGGGAGCCUGGCUGAGGAAUCAGAAGUAUCCUUGAGAUGUGCAAUGUGCAACUGGUAUCUUUGAAAUGCAGCAGGAUACCUAAAAAUUCCAGGUAGUGAUGUCCUAUGAAACCUGUAAUAUAGAAAGGACUUGCUUUCUACCCAGAAUGAGACCUCUCUCUGGGGCCUCCCUGUGCAGAGAAUUUUUAGAUAUCUCCAAGACAAGACAGGACCCUUGUCAGGCAUGCAUGGCUGACUCCCAGCUUAGUGACACAGGUCACCUUUGGAAUUACUGUACUAGUACUCCCUUGACAUAAAGGCACAUAUCUAGGUAGUCAUAUUUGUUGUUUUACUGGUGGUAAUUUUCAGUAUAACACAGAAACAUAUAUGGAUUGCUACUGUGCAAAUACAUUUGCCUUUUAGGAGUACCUCGCAGUAACUUAUUAUAGGCUUUCUGUUUAACUGUAAGCGUAUUUGCUUUACUUAUAGUAAUUUGUAGUAAGCUGUAACAAAAGAAUUCAAGAAUAAGAUCUCUGCAUCAUUAUGUAUUACAGACUGCUGUUAGCUCAUCAUGCAGCCUUAUGGAAACAUGAAGGAGCUUUCCUUGCUGUUGCUUUUCAAGAACAAAAUAAAUGCCUCUGAGGUGUUACGGUAGUUGAGGUACCAAGUAACAAUGCUCAUUCAUGGGCAAAUAAACCCCACAAAAUGUACUGAAGCUAGAUGUACAUGCUAACGGCUAGGCUAGCUUCGACAGAAAUGUUUUGUCAUUUUCAGAAAUGAACGUUCAACCUCAGGUCCAAAUUCUCUACUGAUAAAAGCAUGGCUCUGCUGAAAUCAUCACAACUCCACCUCCUUAUCUCAGCAGUAAAUUAAUCCCGUUUCUGCCUUUCCACUUAAUUUCUUCAGCACAAGCAAACUAAAGAUACUAUUAGCGUUUGAAGGAAAAAAGCUGUUUAGUUUUUGUAACAGCAGAGUACUCAGAGAGCAAAGAGAGAAGUUUCUCUUAGCUUUGUCCAAGGGCUGGUGGGAGCGCUACUGUUACACUGUGACGUGUCAUGCUGUGCUCACUGAGCUGCGUCUGAGCAGGAUUAAAGACCUACAGUGAUACCAUUGAAAUAUAUUCAAGGUGAAGUGGCUCGUAAUUCAAAAGCCAACUGUGAGAAGAGCUGGACACACGAUAGCGAAAUAUUGAUGGAAACAAAGAUGAAGAAUGUCUCAUUAGUUUUUGGCUCUCCUAUGCCGACAGGCGACAGAGCUUGCCCGAUUCUGCCUCCACCCAACGGGAACGCUCACUGCAAGGAGGUCAGCACAUCCACGUCCAUUCUGCAGCCUACCGCGUUUAAAAUCAGCCCUUGCUUGGAUGCAGCCCUGACUGAACACCACAAUGGGAGAGACGGUGAAACCCUGCUAAACAGAAGUCCUCCGUCGUGGAUCCGUGGAGCCCGACAGCCUCGGUUUUCUACCCGUGUUGGGCGCUGCGUGCCCGGCUCCGCUCUCCUCUUCCCCGCGCGCCGCAGCGUUCAGUCGCUCUUGCGCGAUGUGAGAGCGCCGCGGCCCGGAAGCGGAAGGAAAGGCGGUGGCGGCGCGCAGGGCAGGGCGCCACGGAGCUCCGCGCCGCGCCACGCGGGAUGCUGGGAGCGGUGGGCCUGGGGCAGGCGCAGUGCCCGUCGGCCAUGUUGGGCGGCAUGGCGCGCAGGGGAGUGUCAUUGUUCAGGGCAAGGCAUGUGCUCUUUGGGAUAUCUUUGAGUGAAGUCAGAUUCUCUAAGCUGUGGAUGUCGUUGCUGCAGGAGCCUGCAGAAAUUUCAUCGUCUCUUCUGCUCGCUUUGCUCAACUUAAAUGGUGAAAACUUUUGAAAUCAGUUCUGCAGGAAUUAAGGCUUAUGGCAAAAUAAACCAUGGGACAUAGGUUUGCAUGGUACAAGUUCCACACACUAACCUAAAAAACUUGCCUGUUCCUGGGAAUGGGCUGGAAGAUCAUCUGUAUUGGCUUUCCCUUAGUUCUGAAGCCCUGUCUACAGGUGAGUGAGCCUCUCACUGAAGACUUUAUUUUAACUUGAAUGUGAUGCUUGUUGUUGUAAUAAGGGCAGGUAACAUCCACUUCUUACAACUGUGUGGUGCAAGGAGCGUGUUCCAAAUCACUGUGCUUAGUUCAAUUUCAGAUACAGUUGGAAGGUUAUGCUGGCAACAUUACUAAAAUUACAAAGAUGGCUCUAAUGAGGUUAUGAUAAUAUGUGGCUAA